ACAAUUCUAUUUCGCUUUCUCAAUAGUUUUUUCAGCCUUCUUCGUAUUUUCACCUGGCUGUUACAAUUUUGCCAGCUCUUCUUCUUUUUACUUAUUCUUUUGGAGGGCUUCGUUUUCAUAUCCGAUUUGAAUAUUUAGGAUUAGAGACUAAAUUGUGAGGGAAAAUUUAGAGCCAAAGGCACAAUGAAUUCUAAAGGUAUUGUUGAAGGGAGGGUUUGUCUCUUCUCUAUCGACCUUCAUCACUGACGAUGAUUAACUUCUGACCACAAUAGAAUGAAUUUGAAUUUAGUGAAGGCUAUUAUAUAAUUUCAUGUACCUUUGGCUCUUUAUUAACUUGUUUUGCAGAUGCAUGUAGUCAUUGACUAAUUUGAUUCAAUUCCAUAACUGUCAAUUGUUAAGAAAUCAACGAAAAUGGAGAAAAGCUCUGUCUACAAAAUUUUCAAAGGUCAGUAAUGAACUUAUGUUUUGCCAAUUAUUUUAUUUACCUUUUAGCUUACUUGUGUUUUAAUCGGAAUUGGCAAAAAUGAGUUAUUUUAGCUCUUUCUAAAGGCGCAGUUUGUCUAAUUUUGAAAAGUUAACUAAAACAAGAAAUAAUUAGGCUUGCACUACGGGCAAUGAUAUUGAUAAAUCAUUAUCUGCAUAUUUUUUUGAUGAACUUGUAAGCAAAUAUGUUUGGAUAGUUCAAUGAAUGGCCAGCAAAAGCCAUUUUGCUUUACUGAUAAAUGAUAGUUGUGAUUUCAGUACUAAAAAGUUGUAAACUAGGUUUGUGGUAAUAGAAUAUAAGUCUUUUCUUGCUAGAAAAUAAUGUAUUUAUAUCAAUGAAUUACUUUUGGUUUGCAAUUCAACAAAUUUAUUUAAUGUUUAGAUUGGUUGACAUCACACACUUUUAAACUCUUUGCAAAUUACAAUGCAUGAUGCUCUAAAUUUCUUUCUUGAUAAAGAAGUAUUUGGAAUCCUAAGGCCUCUUCAAUGGACUAAGAGGUACAAUUGAAGCUCUGAGAUUUUCUUCAAAUACAAUGUUCAACCACUUGAGGAAGGAGGGCGCAGAUCUGUAAAGCUUGAAGGAUAACAAACUGCUUGUCCUCAAUCUUCAAAGCGCCAACACCUUGGAAAGCUGUUUUUUAAGUCUUAGUAGCUGAAUAUAAGCAUCCUGAUUGGAGUUUUCGAGAAAAGUUCCUAGCUUAAUUUAUCAGUUGUGAUAACGUAUGCUUAUUUUUCAUUUUUAUUUCCAUUCGUUCGUUAUACUUGAUUAAUUUGUUUUUAUUUUUCACUUUUCUAUCUUAUUCUUUUGUUAAUAUUACUAAAUGUGAACCAUUACUCUAGGUUUCAUAUGAUGUCAAUUGUCAUCUUGAAACUGUUUAUGCUACACUUCUUUGAUGACAGAAACGUGGAAGCACAAAAAGUUCAUGUUCCAACUUUGGAGUUCUCAUCGUAGCAGAGAAUAUCCUAAGAAGGUAUGUUGGCUAUCAGUGCAAUCUGCAAUAAUCUGUUGUUGUUAUAUUUUGGCGGGAAACUUUGUCAGUAAAUCAAUAAAUAAUGUUUGAACAUAUUUAGAAUCUUCCUUAACAGAUUCCAACUCUUUGCCACAAAUUCCUAUCAGGUUGCAAACUAUUUCUAGUGACGUACCGUAAGAAUCAAAUGCUCAAAUGAUAUGUUAAAUUAGGUUGUGCCUGCUUGCCGGUUCUGUUUCUCAAGCCAUGAACAUUUUUAUUCAAAGAUAUGGAUAUCCCCUAAUUGUUCAAUAAGUGUACUGCUUUAGUUCCACUUUAGAGAUAAAUAUGGUGCCAAGUAAAGACGAAAUAUAAAGCAUAAAUGAUUUAAAAAGUGGAACAAAAAAUACUAUAUACAUCCAAAAAGGAAUAUUGAGAGAAGGAAUAAGAGAAUUUGAUGAUGGUUAGCAUAUACAGGAGGUGCAACUGAUCCGUGGAAGUUUAAUACAAAGUUCUCCAGUUUGAAUUAAAGGAUAUUUACAAACAAUCUAUUUUGGCUAAAGCUCUAUAUGAGUUAUCUCAGUUAAUGUUACACUUUCUUUUCUUCUUCUAAUAAGUCCAAUUUUACCAAAUUUAGCCAUUUAGUGAGCGAUAUAUUUACGAAUACUUGUGGUUAAAUUAUCUAACCCCCCAUGUAGACCACUAGGAAUUGGGUCGUAACAUAUUCUUACGAAUGACAUGACGAAUAAUAAUAAUAACUUAACUUUUUUAUACUCACUCAGUGACUCAUAAAAAAUUAUCUCUGAUAUCUGUUAUUCAAGGAAAAUGUACCAGUAGUCACUCUUCGCAUCAAAGGACUUCUUCUUAGAAUUAGAUCUCUGUUGUUUUGCAUCUUUUAAGUUCUUAAAAUUUGAGUUAAUGUGUUGAGUUGACUAAGUAGUUUAAGAUUACUCUUUCUUUAUGUUAUCACUUCUAUAAAAUAGGGAGAGUACAUGAUUAUUACCAGGAUUUUUUUGGAAUUUGCAUUGGUUCUUACAAAAACAUUUGACUCCUUCAAAUGAGGCUAAACUGAAAACAAGUUGAUAACUUGGUUUUCUAUCUUACUUGGAGAGAGUUUGAAAAGGAAAUGAAGCUGGUGUGAGUUAAAUUCUUCCAAUCGUUCCACUGUUCAAUUUUAGGGAGAUAAUGAUGCCUCAAGUUGACAUAUAUGGAUGUGGACCAAGUUUCAAUUAAUGUGUGCAUGCAAAUUCAUGAUUUCAUGACCAAAUGACAAUCAAAUUAUUCUCCUGAAUGGUUUAUGUGGCCUCUGUACAUUUUGAUACACAGUUGGUCAUCUUUUCUUUUGACUAUACUUCUAAGUAAUUUUGUGUAUAAAUUUUGCUAUAAUGUAAGAGUGAAUACAUGCUAUAUUGUGGUUUGGUAUGUUUUAUAUGUGAUAGUUCUAUUAGUCAACGUGAUAAGUUACUACUUAGAGUGCAUUAUGUAUCAUGAAAUGUCCGACAUAAAUCUAAGAAGGUAAGAUAUAUUGUCCUUUGUUCGAGGAUCUUCAGUUGGAAUCAAUUUGUAAGCACAACUUCUCUGCAACAUUUGUUGCAAAAUGAUUGAUAGAGAUAGAGCAGUUUUUUUGCAGAUGAAUGAGAUCAUAUUUUCGAGAGAAAGAGUCAGAAAGAAGAAUUAUACAUUUACCUUUAUGCAUCUUAAAAUUAUACAAUUUAAUUUGGAGAACUUCAAUUGCCACUUCAUCAAUAUUUUUAAUUUUUUUUAAUUUUUUAUGUUCUUGUUUGCUCACGGUAUCUCUUUCAUGGAUUUUAGCUUGCAUAUUUUCUCUUAAGUUGUCGUGAAGGAUGGAUUGGUCUUUCGUUGUUACGGGCAUUCAGAGAAUAGAGGUAACAAAGUAGAGAAGAAAUGAAUUUGAUUUCACCUGCAUGACCGUCAAGAUCCUCAAGCCUAAACUUUGAGCAAGUUCAUUCCUAAUUUGCUUCUAUAUAUGAUAUUUUCAAUGGUUAUUUGAGUACAUUGUGUAUCUAAUGUAUCAUAUGGUAACCAUAUAUCUAUGAGUAAAUAUUUUGUUCCACACAUGUAUCUAAAUAAUAUCCAGCCAUAUUAUCAAUAUCUGAUUUAAUACUCCUUUACAUGCAUCUAUUUCGCUUUCUCCUAUUUCAUUUCAAUACAAAGUUAUACAAUGUUGUCUUUAUCUACUUUGGUUGUUAUUUAUGUGCAUCUAUUUUCUUCUUUGUCAAAGUGAUGUUAAUGAAAAAUAACAAUUCCCACUUUUACAGUAUUGGGCCAGUGCUGGCACGGGCUAGCACCACCUAGUUUAGUAUGCAUAACUCGGGAGAUAGUGCAUAUUUAGGUAAUUGUUGAACAACACCACUCCCAGAGCAUAUGAGUGAUCAAUAACUGAGGGUUUAAAGGUGGGAUUAGGGAUGAGAAGCCUUGGUGCAAUCUGAAGUGAGCUAUAUUAAAGGCCAGCUAGCGUAGCUCGGGAGAGUGCAUGUAGUAAAUUGUCGUGAUUACUCGGGAAAGAUUUACGGUAAUAAGAGUGCUCAUGAUCGGUAGAGAAUACUUAGGCGAAAUUAAAGAAGACACAGCGGCAAGGAUUCCGACAAUUGGGGAAAUCAUAACUCUAGAUCUCCUUAAUCUUGUUUCCAACCCUUAGUACAUUUAGUUGUUAAUUUAGUAUUUUAAUUUGUUAGUUGAUUAGUUAAACACAAGAAUCUAAAUAUCUAUAAGUUAGGAAUUGUUCAAGCUUAGUGAUAGUGAACAGUUGUAGCUAAAUCUUAGUUCUCCGUGGGAUUUGACUCCGGACUCGUAAACCGAAUUAUAUUUGCAACGACCGCAUUGUCCUUUUAUAAGGCAUAAUUGGGCGGAAUCAUUGAGCAUAAUCAUUUAUUUGGUAUCUUUAAUAGUCUUUCUUUUACAUUUAAUCUGCUAACAGAAAAAAAUAUGCAAGACAUUGAAUUUUAAAUUACUUUGCCUUUUCCCUCUCAAGGCUAAAUUAUUCCUCCUUUAUUUUCCACUUAAAAGUGUGAUAAUGUCACUUGUCUGAAAUACAAGUGUCAUAAUGUCCCUCUCAAGACAUUAUCGAGUUUAAUUACAACAAAGUAGUUUAAACUUCUGAAUGAAGUCAGAUAUAUGCUUGCUUAUCUCAUCUCGUCUUUCUUGGUUAACAAAGCGAGCUGCACCUUUUAACACCACCACUUCCUCCAACAAUGGAACAUCUUUCUUAAACUCAACAUUGUGUAUGUAAUCUUUAGCACCUGGAAUAUGAUAAACCAAGUCUAAUUCUCCGACGAUGAACUCUCCUGUCCAGGGUGUUGUGCAUUCGCAGUUUCUGUAUUUCAUCAUAGGACAGAGAACUUUAGUGUUUGAUUCAGUUUUAAUGAUGCAAAUAAUAUACAUAUGCAGGAAAUUAAUUACAAGAAAUCAAUAAGAUACUACAAGAUUGUUGGAGUCAAUCUUGAUGCCUAAGGAAAGAAAUCAAUCAGCAAAGAUUACAAUCCAAUCAGCAAAUCUGGAUAACUAAGGAUAGAACUCAACUAGCAAAUCAAUCAGUAAAGUGUAACGGCCAGCUGCGAUGGAGAGAAUCAAGCAAGCCAAAACUUAAGGCAUGAAUCAAGGCCAGCAUCCCGGAAGAUUGAAGAUCCUGUAAAGAUUUGAUACACGACUAAUUUCGGAAGAAUCAACAAUCAAGGAGCAAGUCUUCAUUUUAUACAUCUCUUGAAAGAAGGAAAUCAAGAAAAAGCAACGGCUAGCUAUCUUAUUCUUGGAAAGAAUCAAUCUCUUUCCAAGGAAAUCCUUGGGUCAAGCCUCGACCUUCAUGAAAGUAUUUAUACUCAGCCUUAAACUUUAGUCAGAUAUACUUUGAUCUAACCGAAAAUUCCUCUCUUUGUUUACUGCAAACAAACAUUGUAGUUCACUAAGAUCUACUGUGUAACAAGUCAGCGAAUAAAAAAGAGGGUAUAACAUAGUGAGACAUUGUAUAAAAAGAAACGAGUGCUAGAGAAACUGUGUUGUCAAUUCACUUCAACUGUACUCGGA
rnacentral:lncRNA from 1 species